GGAUGCUGAGAAUCUUUUCGAAUUUAAAACUUUGAUCUCAUUUUUCUCUCAAACCGUGAAUGUGUUUUGGAUUCCGUUCAAACUAUUGUGUUCCUGAGAAUUAAUGUAAGAUAAUGAGAUCCAAUAUGACUUUAUUUUAUUAUAUUUUUUAAAAUCAACAUUUUAAAUGAACUAUCUCAAUAUUUUUUAAAAAAAAGUUUGUGAAUGUAAAAAAAUUUUGUACAUGUAAAAAAAUGUUGAGCAAAAAUAUUGGUGAAUGUAAAAAAGUUAGAGAAAAAUGUUGGUACAUAUAUAAAAUGUUGUUCAAGUCAAAAAUGUUGGUGAUAACUUUUUUAAAAAAAUGUUGAUGAACGUCAACAAAUGUUGAUAAAUAUCUAAAAAUGUUAAAGAAAAAUAUUGUAUAUGGAUUUAAUAUGGGUUUUAAAGAUAUGUGGCUUAUCUACCUUCCGGUAGUUAUAUAUGAGUCCCCGGGGAGCCCACUUGUGACCAUAGGAAAAUCCACGAGUUCUCGCAAGUCCAGUAGACUUCAGCAUUUUGUGAAUUGGACCAGGUAAAGAAGUCUAGUUCAUUUCAAAUCGAAAAUAUGUGAACACAUCAAUUUGACCAAAUUAACGGGUCCGUGUGUUUACAAAGGAGUUAAACUACGUUCACAAAGGCCAGAAAAUUCGCCUGGCUUUGCGGGAGCUCCGAUUGAUUGUGGCCACAGGAAACUUUUGCUUUGGAAAGGGGAAAUUACGUAAACAAAAAAUUGAUGUCGAGUUGUUGCAUGUCACGUUGCUGCUUGGACUGAAAACCUGUGCAGGUUCACAUAUACUCCUAUACUACUUUCUGAAGGAAACAUGGAGUAGAUCACAGAUG
rnacentral:lncRNA from 1 species